UACAGAGGUCUCAAGCGUUGUUCGGAUUCAUUGGGCGUAAAGGGUGCGUAGGCGGCGCGGUAGGUCGGGUGUGAAAUCUCGGAGCUUAACUCCGAAACUGCAUUCGAUACUGCGGUGCUUGAGGACUGGAGAGGAGACUGGAAUUCAUGGUGUAGCAGUGAAAUGCGUAGAGAUCAUGAGGAAGACCAGUGGCGAAGGCGGGUCUCUGGACAGUUCCUGACGCUGAAGCACGAAGGCCAGGGGAGCAAACGGG
rnacentral:rRNA from 1 species